AAUCCGCCGGAAGGAGGGCGCAGCAUUGCCGGUCUUCUCAUUGCCUGGCUGCUAGAGGAAACCCGAAGUCGGGAUUCUUUCUUUCCUGCUCUGAGAGGGACCAGGUCCCUCCUCCGUAGCUUUUGUCUCUCUAUUGCCUGCGCCGUGUCCUGGACUGCUCACGGGAGUUCUGCAGGAGACGCCGGAAUAUCUGGAAGCUGAAAAAUGGAAAUAAAUGGAAAGACCAGAAUAUUGAAGAUCACUACAGAAAUCUAAGGUGACUCCCACGACCAGUGCGGGUCACAGCACAGGCGACAGAAGCUAUGGCAGAGGCACCUGAACCCUCUCGGAGGGGAAAGCCAGGCUCCCAACCUCAGCUCGCCGCCUGGAGCCGGGAACCGAGGAGAGCAGGGCCUUCGCCCUCCCCGAUGGACACUCGGCAGGCCCCGCCCAGCGCCCCUGAUUGGACGAAGCGCCGGGCCCCGCCCCCUCAGCCUUUUGAGUCAGGGUCUCACCCUGUGGCCCAGGCUGCCCUCCAGUGAUGCCAUCAUGACUCAGUGCAACCUCAAACUCCCAGGUUCAAGCGAUCUUCCAUCCUGACCUCCAAAAGGGCUGGAUUAUACACAUAAGCCAUGUCACACUUUAUAUGUUUCUAGGGAAGCUUUUCUAAGAAUAAAUACAUUGGAACUA
rnacentral:lncRNA from 1 species